CCUGGUUGAUCCUGCCAGUAGUCAUAUGCUUGUCUCAAAGAUUAAGCCAUGCAUGUCUAAGUAUAAGCGAAUUUACUGUGAAACUGCGAAUGGCUCAUUAAAUCAGUUGUAAUCUGCGUGGUAGAUGUGAUACACGGAUAGCCGUGGCAAUUCUAGAGCUAAUACGUGCGUGAGGGCCGAGGCAACGAGGCCCGUAUUUAUUAGGUACAGAACCAGCAUUUUGGUGAUUCAGAAUAACUUUGCGGACCGGCACAUUUGUGGCGGUGGACCAUUGGAAUUUCUGCCCUAUCAACUUUCGAUGGUAAGGUAGUGGCUUACCAUGGUGACAACGGGUAACGGGGGAUUAGGGUUUGAUUCCGGAGAGGGGGCCUGAGAGAUGGCCACCACUUCCAAGGAAGGCAGCAGGCGCGCAAAUUACCCAAUCCUGACACAGGGAGGUAGUGACAAAAAAUAGUAAAGCGUUGGGCUAGUCCCGCCGCUAUUGCAAUGAGAGCGAGGUAAACGUUCCAUCGAGAACCAACUGGAGGGCAAGUGAGGUGCCAGCAGCCGCGGUAAUUCCUUCUCCAGGAGCGUAUAUUAAAGUUGAUGCAGUUAAAAAGCUCGUAGUCUGAGGUUUGCGCGUGGGGGGCGUGGGUGCGCAAGCGCCUGUGCCUGCUGUGUGCAUUUCUGGGGCUGGGGGCGGGGUGCCCUUGAUUGGGUGUUCCGGUCCUGCCCUGCCUUUACUUUGAAAAAUUAGAGUGUUCAAAGCAAGCGUGUUGCAUGAAUAGUUCAGCAUGGAAUAAUGGAAUAGGACCUUGGUCUUGUUUCGUUGGUUUCCAGGGCCGAGGUAAUGAUGAAUAGGGACAGUUGGGGGCAUUCGUAUUUAGUUGUCAGAGGUGAAAUUCUUGGAUUUACUACAGACGAACAUCUGCGAAAGCAUCUGCCAAGGAUGUUUUCAUUGAUCAAGAACGAAAGUUAGGGGAUCGAAGGUGAUUAGAGACCAUCUUAGUCUUAACCAUAAACCAUGCCGGCUAGGGAUUCGUGGGCGUUGUUUGACGCCAUCGGCACCUUGUGGGAAACCAAAGCGUUUGGGUUCCGGGGGGAGUAUGGUCGCAAGGCUGAAACUUAAAGGAAUUGACGGAAGGGCACCACCAGGUGUGGAGCCUGCGGUUUAAUUUGACCCAACACGGGGAAACUCACCAGGUCCAGAUUUGAGUAGGAUUGACAGAUUGAGAGCUCUUUCUUGAUUUCAAAGGUGGUGGUGCAUGGCCGUUCUUAGUUGGUGGAUUGAUUUGUCUGGUUAAUUCCGAUAACGAACGAGACCUUGAUUUGUUAUAUGGGGUGGGUGAUUUCGAUCGCCCGGUCCUCCUAGAGAGACUGCCGCUGCGAGGCGGAGGAAGUUCGAGGCAAUAACAGGUCUGGAAUGCCCUUUGAUGUUCUGGGCCACACGCGCGCUACACUGACGG
rnacentral:rRNA from 1 species